GAUGAACGCUAGCGACAGGCUUAACACAUGCAAGUCGAGGGGCAGUGGGGAUUUAGCUUGCUAAAUCUGCCGGCGACCGGCGCACGGGUGAGUAACGCGUAUGCAACCUACCUAUCAGUAAGGGAUAGCCCAUUGAAAGAUGGAUUAAUACCUUAUAAAGCAGGGAUCCCGCAUGGGAAUAUUUGCUAAAGAUUUAUUGCUGAUAGAUGGGCAUGCGUUCCAUUAGUUAGUUGGUGAGGUAACGGCUCACCAAGACAUCGAUGGAUAGGGGUUCUGAGAGGAAGGUCCCCCACACUGGUACUGAGACACGGACCAGACUCCUACGGGAGGCAGCAGUGAGGAAUAUUGGGCAAUGGGCGCAAGCCUGACCCAGCAACGCCGCGUGAAGGAAGAAGGCUUUCGGGUUGUAAACUUCUUUGACCAGGGAAGAAACAAAUGACGGUACCUGGAAAACAAGCCACGGCUAACUACGUGCCAGCCGCCGCAGUAAGAC
rnacentral:rRNA from 1 species